AGAGUUUGAUCAUGGCUCAGAACGAACGCUGGCGGCAUGCCUAACACAUGCAAGUCGAACGAUGCCUUCGGGCAUAGUGGCGCACGGGUGCGUAACGCGUGGGAAUCUGCCCUUGGGUUCGGAAUAACUCAGAGAAAUUUGAGCUAAUACCGGAUGAUGACGUAAGUCCAAAGAUUUAUCGCCAAGGAUGAGCCCGCGUAAGAUUAGCUAGUUGGUGGGUAAAGGCCUACCAAGGCGACGAUCUUUAGCUGGUCUGAGAGGAUGAUCAGCCACACUGGGACUGAGACACGGCCCAGACUCCUACGGGAGGCAGCAGUGGGGAAUAUUGGACAAUGGGCGAAAGCCUGAUCCAGCAAUGCCGCGUGAGUGAUGAAGGCCUUAGGGUUGUAAAGCUCUUUUACCAGGGAUGAUAAUGACAGUACCUGGAGAAUAAGCUCCGGCUAACUCCGUG
rnacentral:rRNA from 1 species